rnacentral:rRNA from 1 species
AGUGAACGCUGGCGGUAGGCCUAACACAUGCAAGUCGAACGGCAGCACAGGAGAGCUUGCUCUCUGGGUGGCGAGUGGCGGACGGGUGAGGAAUACAUCGGAAUCUACUCUGUCGUGGGGGAUAACGUGGGGAAACUUACGCUAAUACCGCAUACGACCUACGGGUGAAAGCAGGGGACCUUCGGGCCUUGCGCGAUUGAAUGAGCCGAUGUCGGAUUAGCUAGUUGGCGGGGUAAAGGCCCACCAAGGCGACGAUCCGUAGCUGGUCUGAGAGGAGGAUCAGCCACACUGGAACUGAGACACGGUCCAGACUCCUACGGGAGGCAGCAGUGGGGAAUAUUGGACAAUGGGCGCAAGCCUGAUUCAGCCAUACCGCGUGGGUGAAGAAGGCCUUCGGGUUGUAAAGCCCUUUUGUUGGGAAAGAAAUCCAGCUGGCUAAUACCCGGUUGGGAUGACGGUACCCAAAGAAUAAGCACCGGCUAACUUCGUGCCAGCCGCCGCUGUAA